CAGUCGCCGCGGGAAUACGAAGGGGGCUAGCGUUGCUCGGAAUUACUGGGCGUAAAGGGCGCGUAGGCGGGUUGUUAAGUUAGAGGUGAAAGCCCAGGGCUCAACCCUGGAACUGCCUUUAAUACUGGCAUCCUAGAGUAUGACAGAGGUGUGUGGAACUCCGAGUGUAGAGGUGAAAUUCGUAGAUAUUCGGAAGAACACCAGUGGCGAAGGCGACACACUGGGUCAUUACUGACGCUGAGGCGCGAAAGCGUGGGGAGCAAACAGGAUUAGAUACCCCUGUAGUCCCUGUCUCUUAUAC
rnacentral:rRNA from 1 species